rnacentral:rRNA from 1 species
UACAGAGGUCCCAAGCGUUGUUCGGAUUCAUUGGGCGUAAAGGGUGCGUAGGCGGCGCGGUAAGUCGGGUGUGAAAUCUCGGAGCUUAACUCCGAAACUGCAUUCGAUACUGCCGUGCUUGAGGACUGGAGAGGAGAUUGGAAUUUACGGUGUAGCAGUGAAAUGCGUAGAUAUCGUAAGGAAGACCAGUGGCGAAGGCGGAUCUCUGGACAGUUACUGACACUGAGGCACGAAGGCCAGGGGAGCAAACGGG